GGGGCAACUGCGGUUCCAUUUCCAGCGAGUACUCGAGCCCGCACUUAGCACACCCACGGGCAUACCCGCACCUACAACGCUGAUUUAUUGAUCUGCAGCGCCAGCAUCUCGAGCACCGAGACGAGGUCGACAACGAAAACAUGAUUCCGUACAGCCAAUGCCUGUCGACGGUGCUCUUCCUGAGCACGCUGAACUUCACGAAUGUGUCGAUCCCAAGCUUUAACGAGAGCCUCUUGGGAGUCAAUGCCUUCAAUCUCACGUGCUUCGAUGUUUAUAUGCGCGGCUUCGGCACCAGCUGGAUGCCCACCAGGUCGUACGCUGCCAUCACUGACGGUGGCAACAUCCGCUGCCGCACAAAUUUGACGGCGUUCGCCUACUCGGGUGUUGUGUGGGCCGAUGUGGUGGUGAACCCAGGUGAGGUGCGACUCGCGCGCACGAUCGAGAAACCCGACUCGCCUGAUAUGUGCAUCACGAACGCGUCCUCUAUCACGGAUUGUCACGUGAACGUCUCGGUGGUGGAUCUCCACGCCGAUCCUCCAAGCAGCCUGAUUGAUCUCAUCCUGGCACAGGCGAAGACGUACGUGAAUAAUCAUGCCAGCGAUUACGUGUGCAAGGUGAUGGUGCCUCGGGGAGAGUCCAUCAUCAUGAAUAACACAUACCCCUAUACCCCCGAACGGAAAGACGAUGGCCGCAAGAUUGUUCCAGUCAGUGAAUCACCGCUGAUACGUGCGCUGAUGUCCAUCGCAAAUCGAGUGCGUAUUGGCAGCAUCCGGUUCUUUGUGGGAUCUCAACCGCAGCGCAUCAGUAUUCUGAUUUCUCACGUUGGUGGCGCACAUGCUGGAUUCACUGGCGAUCUGGUGCCUACUCCUCUGGGUGAGUCUGCGGUCGAUUGGGCCCAAGGGCUGGUGGACGCAUACAUUCAGGGUGUCGUGCCUCAACCAUUGCCUGUGUAUGGGUUGCCGGGAGAGAUCAAGGGCCUCGUGGCGGGGCUGAACACUUCACAGACUGUUUUUGCAACGCUCGAUGUAGAUGUGAGCAUCGCGGCUUCCAGUGCAAACUGGGUCACCAUCUACCUCCAACCCGGCGUGACCAUUGAAAACCUGAGAAUCCAGGCGAACAGUGACGGACUCGGCAAUCUGUUGACACAUCUAGCUGCCCCCGAGGUUGAGAAACUCAUCAAUGCAAAAAUCGCCACCGUCCUAGCCGCGUUGGCGGGGUCUGCGGGCAGUGGUCCACACGACAAUCGCACCGCUAACGGUACACUGACGUUCUCCUUUGGAGAAAAUACAGUUGUGCGCGACUCACCGCUCCGGCUCCCUUUGAUCCUUAUCAGCUGUGUCGGAGGGGUUUUUGGUGUGCUGCUUGUGGCUCGAAAUGUGCGGCGACACCGAGAGCAGCCUGUUCUGAACAGCGUCACAGGCGCGCCAUUGUCCACGUUUCGCAUCGUGGCAGAGGACGUAUUCCUGAUUGUCAGCGUUGUUGCCUGCCUGCUGCUAUUUUCCGCAAGCAACACGAUGACAGGGGCCACGGUCGUUCUUGGCGACGAACUGCGCACGUACGCCUUCUCCCUGUCAAAUACCGUCACGGACCUGUGGCAGGCGGGACUCUUUCCGCUGUCCGUGUGCGUGCUUGUAUUCAGUGGCAUUUACCCCUACGUGAAGCUGCUUAGCAUACUCUUCUUUACUGUGUGGGCUCACCGUCCCUCCAGCCGCGCUCUCAAGCUGAUCGACUGUAUCGGUAAGCUCUCCCUUAUCGACACCUUCGCGCUCAUGGUGAUGGUGUCAGGACUCGAGAUCCCCUCUAUCGCGGAUGUGCGGGUUCAUCGGUCGUUCUACAUAUUUAUGUAUGCUACGAUUGUGUCGAUUGCGCUGGGCAACUACGCCACGCUGCUGUGGCGAGCAGGGACGACCCUGCGGCGUGACGAUGCUCCAGUGGAGGACACUGGCGCCCACUCCACCCUUGGUAGCGCUCAAGGGGAGCCCGUGACAGCCUCCCCGGUAGAGCAACAAGGGUCAGCUCCAUCGAUGACCGGCAACAGCUUGCCCCGAGGCGGCGCCUCUGUGCAACUUCAAUCGGGAGAGCAUCGCACUUCUUGCUGGAGACGAUUUGCCGGUCCCGCCCUUUGCAUUCCGUUGGUGUUUAUGAUCGCGUGCAGCAUCCCUGCCUGGAUUUUACCAACGUUUCGGUACACGGUCGGAGGCUUCGCUCGGCUUCUGACGCCGCCAAGCAAAUCACUUACCCUGUGGCGCCUGAGCAGUCUGGGCGGCCGAGAUGACGCGCUCGACAUUUUGGCGGUUGCUGUCUUCACGAUCCUCAUCGCGCCGUGCCUCUACGUGGCGCUCUACCCCAGAUGCGCUUUCCUGGCCUCGUGGUGCGCCGCAGAUGUGCUCGUGAUCGCCUGCGUGGUUGGUCUCCUGCAGCUGCAGCAGUUUGUUCGGUUUGUGCUGGGGGACAGCAGGGAUAUCCUCUACACAGCGCACGCCUCUCUGCUGUGGCCCAUGUACCUUCUGGCAGUUGCUGCGGUGCUGGUGUGGGUUUACAUCGCCCGCGACAUUCUCCACUAUGUCUUUGUGCGCAAGGAGUUGAUUGCGAUGCCACCUAGUGCGUAGACAAGACCUCCUCCUCCGUCCCUCCCGAGACGAGGAGGCUGAGCGAGAGGAAGGGGGAGGGGCUAGACAGUGAGUGCCUCUCCACAGAGAUUUGCGCAUGUGGACGAGGUGCUUCACUGUUUGUUCAUGUGCGAGAGUUUUCGAGGUGCUGCGAGCGCACAGCACUGCCUCCCGAUUCUUUCGCUUCGUUGCUGUUGUCGCUCAGGCACUUUUCUUUAAUGCUUAUUACGGGCGAGCAACCCCUAUGUUCGUCGGCGAGGGUGUGUCUCGGUGUCACCACCGACUGAGGGACGUCGACAGCCUGAUGAGUGGCUCUUCCCCGGCUUCUUUUUCUUCUUUCUCAUGCUUUUCGCGUCCGCACCGGAUAAAGGGUCGGGACAAGAGGCGACACACUCCUCAGUGCGCGGUGGUAUCUCAGGGUCCAGUACCACCACCCUAGGUGCUGAGGUCAAACAGCCCCCCCUCCCCUCCCCCCGACUCUCUAAGCCUGCCGAACCACCUCUGGUGAUGACAGGGUCACGUACCAGUGUCAUGGGGCAGUCAGAGCGAUGUAUCACUGCUGAUGCCAGCGGUCCGGCCCUGGGUGGCGCUGUGUCGGAGCGACCUGCGACCGUGAGCAGGCGCUUGCACCAUCCAUGUGAUGGGCGAAGUGUCAGAGUGACUCGAAGGUACCUCACCGCCGGCCCUCACGCUGCCCACUCGCGUGGGGAGUGUCCGGGUCACCGCGAGGGGGAUGGACCAGGUGGCGACUGGCACAAUGGGAGCGGCUGUGAGGCGAGCUGCGAGGCAGAGACCGCGCUCAGGUGACUGAGUCGGCUCAUUGCUGUCACGCGGUCCUCUGCAGCUUCGCGCCACGCGCUGGGGCCUGUGACAGGCCGGGCAGCGUGAGCUCACGCCGUAUUAGGGGGAUGAACGCGUUAAAAAAAAACGUAAUCUUUUCUUUUGUACGGGUGCGCAUGCGUAUGCAUUUCCUGCCUCCCUCGUCUGCUGUGGAUUUCUGGCGCUGCCCGUCUCUCUCUUACUCGGAAAGAGGGCAACUGGGAAAUGCGCGAGGCAGGGGAGGAGGUUUUGCUUCAUGGCUCUGUGAGCUGCGCAUACGACCGCGUGCUUGACUCGGCUUAAAUGGCACAGCUGCAUUAGUGCACACACAGAUAGGCAAGUCUACGGUCCUGUGCUUGUCAUGAGCUGCAUCUUUUUAGCUUCGCAGUCUUCCCCGCUCUCCCCCUCCCUCUGUCCCCCUCCUUCCUUUCUUGCCCACCCCCACGUCGUCUUCCCUUCCCUGCCUUUUGCAGUCGAGAGGGGAGAAAAGGAGGGAUUAUGACGGCUGUGGAGAGGGAGGGUGGUGGUGGUGGUGGUGGUGGUGUGGCUGCUGCCCCAUGGUGGAACUCGAUGUCGAUUCCGCUGCUCAUCCGACCUCUUCUUUCUUCAG
rnacentral:misc_RNA from 1 species